UACGUAGGGUGCGAGCGUUAAUCGGAAUUACUGGGCGUAAAGCGUGCGCAGGCGGUGAUGCAAGACAGAUGUGAAAUCCCCGGGCUUAACCUGGGAACUGCAUUUGUGACUGCACGGCUAGAGUACGGCAGAGGGGGAUGGAAUUCCGCGUGUAGCAGUGAAAUGCGUAGAUAUGCGGAGGAACACCAAUGGCGAAGGCAGUCCCCUGGGCCUGUACUGACGCUCAUGCACGAAAGCGUGGGGAGCAAACAGG
rnacentral:rRNA from 1 species